rnacentral:SRP_RNA from 1 species
UCGUGCUAGACGGGGAGGUGGCGGUGCCCUGUAACCUGCAAUCCGCCAUAGCAGGGUUGAAUUCCUAGCCCAGGCUUAUUACUGUAAGGUCUGCCCUAGAUAAGUGGCGUCGACGACUUGGUCCCGCGCAACGGGAACCCAUGAACCCCGUCAGGUCCGGAAGGAAGCAGCGGUAAGUGGAUCCUCUCGUGUGCCGUGGGGGUGCCGGGUCUGAGUUAACUGUCUAGGUAACGCUUGUAGUAAUAUGUCAAAGCUAGGUGCACGA